rnacentral:rRNA from 1 species
AACGAACGCUGGCGGCAUGCCUAACACAUGCAAGUCGAACGAGACCUUCGGGUCUAGUGGCGCACGGGUGCGUAACGCGUGGGAACCUGCCCUUAGGUUCGGAAUAACUCCCCGAAAGGGGUGCUAAUACCAGAUAAUGUCUUCGGACCAAAGAUUUAUCGCCUUUGGAUGGGCCCGCGUUGGAUUAGCUAGUUGGUAGGGUAAAAGCCUACCAAGGCGACGAUCCAUAGCUGGUCUGAGAGGAUGAUCAGCCACACUGGGACUGAGACACGGCCCAGACUCCUACGGGAGGCAGCAGUGGGGAAUAUUGGACAAUGGGCGAAAGCCUGAUCCAGCAACGCCGCGUGAGUGAUGAAGGCCUUAGGGUUGUAAAGCUCUUUUACCCGGGAUGAUAAUGACAGUACCGGGAGAAUAAGCUCCGGCUAACUCCGUG